rfam:Marine metagenome 1096626452650, whole genome shotgun sequence.
CAAAAUUUUGUAGUGAUACAUCAUUGGUUUGACAGAAGUCAGCAGACGCCAUAGUACUUUUUAAUUUUUUUAGGAAGGAAGGGC